CAGCAGCCGCGGGAAUACAGAGGGUGCGAGCGUUAAUCGGAUUUACUGGGCGUAAAGCGUGCGUAGGCGGCUUCUUAAGUCGGAUGUGAAAUCCCUGAGCUUAACUUAGGAAUUGCAUUCGAUACUGGGAAGCUAGAGUAUGGGAGAGGAUGGUAGAAUUCCAGGUGUAGCGGUGAAAUGCGUAGAGAUGUGGAGGAAUACCGAUGGCGAAGGCAGCCCCCUGGGCCAAUACUGACGCUCAUGCACGAAAGCGUGGGGAGCAAACAGGAUUAGAUACCCGUGUAGUCCCUGUCUCUUAUAC
rnacentral:rRNA from 1 species